AGAAGUUUAAGAGGUUCUUCCACUGGUGUUCGGCACACGAUCAACAAUGCAAAACUCACAAAGUCAACAAAAGAUCCACCUAUCCAUUUGCAACAUUCGGAACGGAGAGGAGAUUCUUCCGUAUUGCAUGAACGAUAAAUAUUGCUGUCCUCUUUGCUCGUAGAGGCUACAGAACCAUAUAGCACAAACUGCUAUGGUUCAACAUAAUGAGAAGUCUGUCUUCAGAUGUCAUCUGGACCAUGGACAGAAUCUGUUGGCAAUGAUGUUAAGGGAUUGCCUAAACAAGGACUGUCCAACAACUGUGGGAUGUUAGUAGUCAUGUUUUCACUACUUUGUGAUGGGAGCAUCAUUUGAUUUCAGCGAGG